rnacentral:rRNA from 1 species
GAUGUGGGGGAUAACCAUUGGAAACGAUGGCUAAUACCGCAUGAUGCCUACGGGCCAAAGAGGGGGACCUUCGGGCCUCUCGCGUCAGGAUAUGCCUAGGUGGGAUUAGCUAGUUGGUGAGGUAAGGGCUCACCAAGGCGACGAUCCCUAGCUGGUCUGAGAGGAUGAUCAGCCACACUGGAACUGAGACACGGUCCAGACUCCUACGGGAGGCAGCAGUGGGGAAUAUUGCACAAUGGGCGCAAGCCUGAUGCAGCCAUGCCGCGUGUGUGAAGAAGGCCUUCGGGUUGUAAAGCACUUUCAGUCGUGAGGAAGGUAGUGUAGUUAAUAGCUGCAUUAUUUGACGUUAGCGACAGAAGAAGCACCGGCUAACUCCGUGCCAGCAGCCGCGGUAAUACGGAGGGUGCGAGCGUUAAUCGGAAU